rnacentral:lncRNA from 1 species
CAUCUACUGUACAUGACAAAAUAUAUAUCUGUGGCUGCAUUUUAUAAUUUUUCAAGGUAGGAUUAUUAUUUUAAUUGAAAUGUAUUUUUCUUGAGACAAAAGGAAUACCUUUUAAUAUGAUACAGAUUUCUUUUAAAUAUUAGGCUAUUUCUUUUCAUACUACCUGAUUGGUUUAAUAACUUGAUGUGACAAGUACAAAAUACAAUUUUUUCAAGUGUAACUG